rfam:Freshwater sediment metagenome lwFormaldehyde_BCIB36334_g1, whole genome shotgun sequence.
GAUAGUAGGCCUAUCAGCAUCGGCAUGUAGCUGCUGGUGCUAAACCACCUGAAGGUGCUGUAUUCAAAAGAUAUGGUACUGAACGUUCAGGUAAAGAUGUUGUAUAAACAGCAUCAGGU